ACCUACGGGGGGCAGCAGUGAGGAAUAUUGGUCAAUGGGCGGGAGACCGAACCAGCCAAGCCGCGUGAGGGAGGAAGGUACAGAGUAUCGUAAACCUCUUUUGUCAGGGAACAAAGGCGGGGACGUGUCCCCGGAUGAGUGUACCUGAAGAAAAAGCAUCGGCUAACUCCGUGCCAGCAGCCGCGGUAAUACGGAGGAUGCGAGCGUUAUCCGGAUUUAUUGGGUUUAAAGGGUGCGUAGGUGGUUAAUUAAGUCAGCGGUGAAAGUUUGUGGCUCAACCAUAAAAUUGCCGUUGAAACUGGUUG
rnacentral:rRNA from 1 species